rnacentral:rRNA from 1 species
GACGAACGCUGGCGGCGUGCUUAACACAUGCAAGUCGAACGGAAAGGCCUCUUUCGGGGGGUACUCGAGUGGCGAACGGGUGAGUAACACGUGAGUAACCUGCCCUUGACUUUGGGAUAACUUCAGGAAACUGGGGCUAAUACCGGAUAGGAGCUCCUGCUGCAUGGUGGGGGUUGGAAAGUUUCGGCGGUUGGGGAUGGACUCGCGGCUUAUCAGCUUGUUGGUGGGGUAAUGGCUUACCAAGGCUUUGACGGGUAGCCGGCCUGAGAGGGUGACCGGCCACAUUGGGACUGAGAUACGGCCCAGACUCCUACGGGAGGCAGCAGUGGGGAAUAUUGCACAAUGGGUGGAAGCCUGAUGCAGCAACGCCGUGUGCGGGAUGACGGCCUUCGGGUUGUAAACCGCUUUCGCUCAUGACGAAGCUUUGUGUGACGGUAGUGGGUAAAGAAGCACCGGCUAACUACGUG